GAUGAACGCUAGCGGCAGGCCUAAUACAUGCCAGUCGAACGGGAUCCAGAUCAAAGCUUGCUUUGGUCUGGUGAGAGUGGCGCACGGGUGCGUAACGCGUGAGCAACCUACCCUUGUCAGGGGGAUAGCCCGGCGAAAGUCGGAUUAAUACCGCAUGACAUCAUUGAGAGGCAUCUUUCGAUGAUCAAAGAUUUAUCGGACAAGGAUGGGCUCGCGUGACAUUAGCUCGUUGGUAAGGUAACGGCUUACCAAGGCUGCGAUGUCUAGGGGCUCUGAGAGGAGAAUCCCCCACACGGGUACUGAGACACGGACCAGACUCCUACGGGAGGCAGCAGUAAGGAAUAUUGGUCAAUGGACGGAAGUCUGAACCAGCCAUGCCGCGUGCAGGAGGACGGCCCUAUGGGUUGUAAACUGCUUUUAUACGGGAACAAACGUCGGUACGUGUACCGGUCUGAGUGUACCGUAAGAAUAAGGAUCGGCUAACUCCGUG
rnacentral:rRNA from 1 species